AACAGAACACAAAAUAAGUGAAGUUAUCUGUAGAUGGCUCUCUAUUACAUGCUGCACAUAUACUCCCGGAUCUCAUCUUCUUGCGGUGUUCUGCCAUAUCUGAUGAGGUCGUAUUCUCAUAUUUAUUGGAGAAGAUGGACUGUUACAAGCUGUGUGUCAUCCACAAAGACUGAAAAACGCCAGGGGCCCCAGAAGACAGCAUGCUCAUCAGAGAGUGAUCAAGAUUCAUGGUUCAAGCUAUAGAGCUGCUUUCCCUACAGUCACAACAGAACCAAUGCUAACAAUUUCUUCUCAUUUAAAACACCUUCCUUUCCCAAUAAGGGCAAAGCAAAGCCCAAAUUACUUCACUGUCAGAAAUGAAUACUGCUGAACAAUAGAAGCAGCAUUCCCAGAGUGGCUGGGGCAGUAGCGGUCAUGCCAGCCUGGCCAUUGAUGUGCUGGAAGCUUUUGGGAAAGACACACAAUCAAAUACUGGUGUAGCAGGAAACAUAUCAUAACCCAGUGUUCACACAUGUUCACAAGCCUAAUCAUCCACACAAAGUCACAGAGGUGUCCACCCUGCAAGCUGUGAGGCCACACUGACACCUCUAAGUCAGGUCAGGUCAGCACUGUUUGCAAACACUCUGGAUGCCUGUUACUAAAAAGGGCUUCCCUCGAGAGGAGGCUAAGAUCACAAUGAAUAAUAUUCAUGAAGCCAAGUUAGCCUAGCCCGAAACAGUGCCAGUGAACUGCUGAAGUACGUGACUGACAAACCGAUGAUGAGUUUUGAGUUGUUCUGAUGAAAUAUAUCUGCCUGUGGGGAAAGACCGCAUCUUCAGAAAUCUCUCUGUGUCAGCAGACCAGUCAGACUUGCCACGCAGACAGACAGGAGGAACAUCAGCUGAGUGAACAGCAUCCUCUAUCAUCUCAGAGAGAAAACAAAAGAUUCAGCAUACAAAUUCCAUAGGUGAACACUGCAACACUGAAAUAGAGAGCCCCUGGAAACCAGAAUCUCACUCCACUCAAUAAGCAUAAUGGCUAGAGGUUUUGUAGAAAUGAGGGAGCAUAAAUUCACAGUAAGCACUCUUUGAGAUGAAUAAUUCACCCAGCUCUAAUUAUGCAUAUAGUGCUUUGAAACACUAUUCAUGAACAGCAUUCCAGAAGCCUCUAACAGAAACAAAAUCUGGUACAUGUAGUCCUAAACCCUACAUUAAAAAAAAAAAAAGAUAGUAUCACAUAGGUACUCUCAUCUGUCCAUGUAGGAGUACUACACUGGAUUUUAUGCAUGUGGAAAAUGCAUAAAACUAGAAGCAAAAUGUGCUGGGAUACAGAAAAUUCAGACUCUUUCUGGGGAGGUCACAUUUUUUCCCUUAGGUCUACAUAUGUCUUAAUGACAGAACCACCAUCAUCUCUUUCAUAAAGGAAAGAGAGGAACACGUGAGGAGAAGUAAUCCAAUAGGCAAAAAUAAACACCGUAAAAUGUGGGCA
rnacentral:lncRNA from 1 species